UCCUGCCCUGAUAUCCUAAAUCACAACUCGGAAGUGAUGGGUAUAUAAUUACGUUCCCAAAUCACAACAAUACUCAGUUACGGUAGAGAUGAUAGAAGAGUCAGGCCCGCCAGCUCCGAAGGUCCUGCGUCUGCUCUAUUUCGUCGGUGCCGGAAUUAUCUGCACAGCAGCAAUCAACAAGUGGAGAGAGUUGGAGAGGAAAUCGCUUCAACAAAAUCAAAAUCCCUCAAAUGCAGAGAACAAGGCUUUCAAAUGAUAUUUCGAGGUGUUGAUGGUUGGAAAUAUUGCUUCAUAUCUAAGCAUUGCUGGAUUACUACCACCUUGUUGGAUGUGCAAUUGGUAUUCUGUAUCAAAUAUGCAGGCAUAUUGUUAUGGGAUUUGGCUUCCUUUUUCGGAUUAAUCUUCCUUAUCAGUUGGUGUGCUGUGUUUAUGUGUUUGUCUGUGUGCUUGAGAGAUUUUGAACUGGCCCUUCAAUUAUUAGUCAUUUUUAGUGUAUGAUCACUUGUGUAAAAAAUGGAAUUCCUGUCUCUAUAUAUAAGAUUUAAGAUUCUAAGUUG